rnacentral:lncRNA from 1 species
UCUACCUCUAUAUAAAAGGUACCAAGGGAAUCCUGAGAUAAAAAAAUUUUAGGCAAAUUCCUCUAAAAGUGAGAACUCCCAUGCUCUUGCUCCCCCUUUCUCUCUUUUUUUUAUUAUUCUCAAGCUCUAGUUGACCUAAGCAUCAAAGGAUCCCUCAUCGGAGAGCCUCUGGUGAGUGCGGACUUUCAUUACAGAUUCUUUUCAGCACUCCAGCCUUUCGAUCAAAGAGCAUCUAACCUCAGUUGCACCCAUCAUAGACCAGAGACUUGCAGUAAUAGAUUGGUGUAAAAAGAAGGGUCUAAAGUCUAUUCAAAGAAAAAAGAGAGCAUGGUAUGAACACGAGCACACAAUUCCACCGUCUCUCACUGGCAAUCUUCUCACCGCAGCCAAAGUGGUGCUGCCCAAGAGUCCACUAUAGUUCGACCCCCUACUGUGAUAGAUUCACAACCAUUCAAUGUCAUGGU